GGAGAGGGAGCCUGAGAAAUGGCUACCACUUCUAAGGAAGGCAGCAGGCGCGUAAAUUACCCAAUCCUGAUUCAGGGAGGUAGUGACAAGAAAUAACAACUCGGGUCCCUCACGGGACUGCGAGAUUGCAAUGAGAACAAUUUAAACCACUUAUCAAGGAACAAUUGGAGGGCAAGUCUGGUGCCAGCAGCCGCGGUAAUUCCAGCUCCAAUAGCGUAUAUUAAAGUUGUUGCAGUUAAAAAGCUCGUAGUUGAAUUUCUGGCCAGUCCUGCACUGUGCAGUUUGCCGGUGUAGGGCUUGGUCAUCCGUAGGGGAAUCCAGUUCGGCCUUCACUGGUCGGCUGGUGGAACCUACAAUUUACUGUGAAAAAAUUAGAGUGUUUCAGGCAGGCAAUCGCUUGGAUACUCCAGCAUGGAAUAAUGGAAUAGGACUUUGGUCUAUUUGUUGGUUUGAGAUCAAAGUAAUGAUUAAUAGGGACAGUUGGGGGCAUUCGUAUUUAAUGUCAGAGGUGAA
rnacentral:rRNA from 1 species